AUGCCAAGUAAUGCUGCGGAGUUGAAACUAAGAAGUCACAUUUCAUUCUGUACCAUAUACACAUUCUUGUUUUUUUUAACUUCAAUUUCAUUUUGCUCUGCUGGAGAUACCACAACAUUCAACAAUCCAAUUAAUGACAGCCGGAAAGAAUCUCUUGUAUCGGCCGAAAAAAGAUUCGAGCUUGGUUUUUUCACCCCUAAUGGAAGCUCUAAGCAUAGAAGAUAUGUAGGGAUAUGGUAUAAGUCAAGUCCAAGUGUAGUUGUAUGGGUUGCUAACCGCGAUAAUCCACUGUCCAAAACCACUGGGGUUUUUACCAUUACAGACGAUGGCGACCUACAGGUGCUGGAGGAUGCUAAAAAGUUGUGGUCAGCUAAUAAAGGUGGAUCAACUUCUUUUAAUAGGACAGUGAAGCUCUUGGAUUCUGGGAACUUAGUUCUUAUUGAAGGUCAAGUUGUCUCAGAAUCAAAAGCAAAUAUUCUCUGGCAAAGCUUUGAUCUUCCAACUGACACAUUUCUUCCUGGAAUGAAGAUGAGUUCAACGAUGCUUCUGACUUCAUGGAAAAGUCAAGACCAUCCUGCCCCAGGGGACUUCAUUUUCCAGAAAGAUCAAGACGGAGAAAACCAGUACAUUGUCGAGAAAAAAAACUAGCCCAUAUUGGAAGAUUGGAGUAUCAGGGAGCCUUUUUUACUCUGAUAAUAAUUUCCUUGCCAUAUUUUCCUUGCUAUCUAAUUUCAGUAGGAAAAAAAUGCCCACAAAAUUAAAUCUUACCAAGUCUAUUCAAAUCCCUGAAAGUUUUCAUUAUUAUAGACUGGUAAUGAAUUUCACUGGUAGGGUAGAGUUUUAUAUUUGGGACAAUGAGAAAGCCUCAUAGUCUUUGAUCUGGUGGGAACCAGAAGAUAAAUGUAGCGUGUUCGAUGCUUGUUGGGACUUUGGUAUCUGCAAUCUUGGGAAUGGGCCAUUGUGCAAGUGUCUACCUGGGUUUGAGUCUAGGUCAGAAGGCUGCUUUAGAAAAUCCCCCAUAUGCAAUAAUAAUAAUAAUGUUAUGGCUGAUCACUUUUUGAGCUUGAAGAUGAUGAAAGUGGGAACUCAAAGUACCACAAAAGAAAAAGGGAGUGCAGAUGAAUGCAAAAAGGAAUGCCGUAGCGACUGUAACUGCCAGGCUUAUUCAUAUGUCAUUACAGAAAGGAUACGCCACGGCACAUGCUAUUUCUGGUCAAAUGAAGUUAAAAAUAUACAGGAGCAGAUAGAAGGGGGCAUUGACCUCUAUGUUCGUGUGAAGCUUUCUGAUAUAGAACUGACAAAAAGAGAUUGUGAGCCUUGUGGCACUACAAUAAUUCCCUAUCCACUAAGCAUCGGACCAGAUUGUGGUGAUCCUAUGUACUCACAUUUCAACUGCAACGAUACCUCUGGCCAAGUUAGCUUUGGGCCGGCUGGUGGUACAUAUCCAGUCACAAUCAUUCACCCUGAAGAACAAACAUUUACAAUUAGAGUGAAUAAUUAUACAGCUAUUGAUGUAGUGAGAAAGCUUCUGAAGCUCAAUCACUUGAUAGAUUCAGACCAAUUUAGAGAAGAUGAGAAAAAAGGCAUAGAUGUACCAUUUUUCAAUUUGAAAAGCAUAAUAGCUGCUACAAAUUACUUCUCAGAUACAAAAAAGCUUGGACAAGGGGGCUUUGGGCCUGUUUACAAGUGUACAUUUCCAGGCGGACAAGAAAUUGCUAUAAAGAGGCUCUCGAGUGGUUCAGGGCAAGGCUUGGAGGAAUUUAAGAAUGAGGUUGUUUUAAUUGCUAAACUUCAGCAUCGGAAUCUUGUUUGACUUUUGGGUUAUUGCAUAUAAGGAGAUGAAAAAAUGUUACUCUAUGAAUACAUGCCAAACAAGAGUUUAGACUCAUUUUUAUUUGAGCAAGAGAUUUGCUCCUCCGUUGAUUGGUCAAUACAUUUUGACAUCAUUUUGGGAAUCGCUCAAAGGCUGCUCUAUCUUCACCAAGAUUCUUGGUUAAGGAUUAUUCAUAGGGAUUUGAAAACAAGCAAUGUUUUAUUGGAUGAGGAGAUGAGCCCCAAGAUUUCAAGCUUUGGCUUGGCAAGGAUAUUUGGAGGCAAACAAACUGAGACAACCACAACCAGAGUAGUUGGAACUUAUGGCUACAUGUCUCUAGAAUAUGCAUUGGAUGGUUUUUCUCAGUCAAGUUUGAUGUCUUCAGCUUUGGAGAAGUUGUACUUGAGGUUAUCAGUGGAAAAAGGAACACAGGAUUUCACCAGUCAGAACAUGGUCUGAGUCUUUUAGGUAAUGCAUAGAAAUUGUGGAAAGAAGGCAAGGCUUUAGAUUUAAUGGACCAAACAAUACAUGAAACUUGUAAUGCUGACGAAUUUUUGAGGUGUGUUAACAUUGGGCUUUUAUGUGUACAAGAGGACCCAAGUGAUCGUCCGACAAUGUCGAAUGUAGUUUUCAUGCUUGGUAGUGAAACUGCAACUCUCCCAACUCCUAAACAACCAGCCUACGUUGUAAGAAGAUCCCUUUCUAGCGCAACUUCUUCUACUACUAAACCAGAAAGUUUGAAUGAAUUAACUUCUACCAUUGAAGAAGGCCGAUAAUGGUGGAUCACAUAAGGGCUCUCAUGAUUCUUGUUUUAUCUUUAUCAGUCUUGCAGAAGUUUCUAGUAUUCUCACUAUGGUUCUCAUAGGAACAAUUACGGCAUAUUUCUUGUCUGUCAUAUUGAUACUU